AACGAACGCUGGCGGCAUGCCUAACACAUGCAAGUCGAACGAGACCGUCGGGUCUAGGGGCGCACGGGUGCGUAAGGCGUGGGAACCUGCCCUUAGGUUCGGAAUAACUCCCCGAGAGGGGUGCUAAGACCGGAUGAUGUCUUCGGACCAAAGAUUUAUCGCCUGUGGAUGGGCUCGCGGCGGUUUAGCUUGUUGGUAGGGUAGAGGCCUACGAAGGCGUUGAUGGAUAGCUGGUCUGAGAGGGUGACCGGCCACACUGGGACUGGGACACGGCCCAGACUGCUACGGGAGGCAGCAGUGGGGAAUAUUGCACAAUGGGCGGAAGCCUGAUGCAGCAACGCCGCGUGCGGGAUGACGGCCUUCGGGUUGUAAACCACUUUCGCCUGUGACGAAGCGUGAGUGACGGUAAUGGGUAAAGAAGCACCGGCUAACUACGUG
rnacentral:rRNA from 1 species